rnacentral:sRNA from 1 species
UCUGGGUGCAGUGGUGCAUACCUGUGGUCCCAGCCACUUGAAAGCAGGAGGAUUGUUUGAGCCCAGGAGUUUGAGCCCAGCCUGGGCAACAUAGCAAGAUCUCAU